rnacentral:misc_RNA from 1 species
AGCAGCCGCGGUAAUUCCAGCUCCAAUAGCGUAUAUUAAAGUUGUUGCAGUUAAAAGCUCGUAGUUGAAUUUCGGGAUCAAUAUGUUGGUCGUGCCUUGGUACGUACUGGCAUUAUUGGUUUCUACCUUCUGAAGAACCUCGAUGUCAUUAAUUUGGUGUCUUGGGGAAUCAGGACUGUUACUUUGAAAAAUUAGAGUGUUUAAAGCAGGCUCGCGCUUGAAUACAUUAGCAUGGAAUAAUGAAAUAGGACGUUUGAUUCUAUUUUGUUGGUUUCUAGGAUCGACGUAAUGAUUAAUAGGGAUAGUUGGGGGCAUUAGUAUUCAAUUGUCAGAGGUGAAAUUCUUGGAUUUAUUGAAGACUAACUACUGCGAAAGCAUUUGCCAAGGAUGUUUUCAUUAAUCAAGAACGAAAGUUAGGGAUCGAAGACGAUCAGAUACCGUCGUAGUCUUAACCACAAACUAUGCCGACUAGGGAUCGGAUGAUGUUUAAUUUUUAAUGUACUCAUUCGGCGCCUUAAC